rnacentral:rRNA from 1 species
AUUGAACGCUGGCGGCAUGCUUUACACAUGCAAGUCGAACGGUAACAGGCCGCCAGGUGCUGACGAGUGGCGCACGGGUGAGUAAUGCAUCGGAACGUGCCCAGUCGUGGGGGAUAACUACUCGAAAGAGUAGCUAAUACCGCAUACGAUCUAUGGAUGAAAGCGGGGGACCGUAAGGCCUCGCGCGAUUGGAGCGGCCGAUGUCAGAUUAGGUAGUUGGUGGGGUAAAGGCUCACCAAGCCAACGAUCUGUAGCUGGUCUGAGAGGACGACCAGCCACACUGGGACUGAGACACGGCCCAGACUCCUACGGGAGGCAGCAGUGGGGAAUUUUGGACAAUGGGCGCAAGCCUGAUCCAGCAAUGCCGCGUGCAGGAAGAAGGCCUUCGGGUUGUAAACUGCUUUUGUACGGAACGAAACGGCUCUGGUUAAUACCCGGGGCUAAUGACGGUACCGUAAGAAUAAGCACCGGCUAACUACGUG